rnacentral:tRNA from 1 species
GCGCGUGUAGCUCAACUGGCAGAGCACUGGUCUCCAAAACCAGCGGUUGAGGGUUCGACUCCUUCCGCGCGUGCCA